rnacentral:rRNA from 1 species
AUUGAACGCUGGCGGCAGGCCUAACACAUGCAAGUCGAGCGGAUGAAGGGAGCUUGCUCCUGGAUUCAGCGGCGGACGGGCGAGUAAUGCCUAGGAAUCUGCCUGGUAGUGGGGGAUAACGUCCGGAAACGGGCGCUAAUACCGCAUACGUCCUGAGGGUGAAAGUGGGGGAUCUUCGGACCUCACGCUAUCAGUUGAGCCUAGGUCGGAUUAGCUAGUUGGUGGGGUAAAGGCCUACCAAGGCGACGAUCCGUAACUGGUCUGAGAGGAUGAUCAGUCACACUGGAACUGAGACACGGUCCAGACUCCUACGGGAGGCAGCAGUGGGGAAUAUUGGACAAUGGGCGAAAGCCUGAUCCAGCCAUGCCGCGUGUGUGAAGAAGGUCUUCGGAUUGUAAAGCACUUUAAGUUGGGAGGAAGGGCAGUAAGUUAAUACCUUGCUGUUUUGACGUUACCAACAGAAUAAGCACCGGCUAACUUCGUG